GCGGAGGAAAAAGAACCAACAGGGAUUGCCCUAGUAACGGCGAGUGAAGCGGCAACAGCUCAAAUUUGAAAUCUGGCGUCUUCGGCGUCCGAGUUGUAAUUUGCAGAGGGCGCUUUGGCAUUGGCAGCGGUCCAAGUUCCUUGGAACAGGACGUCACAGAGGGUGAGAAUCCCGUACGUGGUCGCUAGCCUUUACCGUGUAAAGCCCCUUCGACGAGUCGAGUUGUUUGGGAAUGCAGCUCUAAAUGGGAGGUAAAUUUCUUCUAAAGCUAAAUACUGGCCAGAGACCGAUAGCGCACAAGUAGAGUGAUCGAAAGAUGAAAAGCACUUUGGAAAGAGAGUUAAAAAGCACGUGAAAUUGUUGAAAGGGAAGCGCUUGCAGCCAGACUUGCCUGUAGUUGCUCAUCCGGGUUUUUACCCGGUGCACUCUUCUAUAGGCAGGCCAGCAUCAGUUUGGGCGGUUGGAUAAAGGUCUCUGUCAUGUACCUCUCUUCGGGGAGAACUUAUAGGGGAGACGACAUGCAACCAGCCUGGACUGAGGUCCGCGCAUCUGCUAGGAUGCUGGCGUAAUGGCUGUAAGCGGCCCGUCUUGAAACACGGACCAAGGAGUCUAACAUCUAUGCGAGUGUUUGGGUGUCAAGCCCGAGCGCGUAAUGAAAGUGAACGGAGGUGGGAACCUUUCGGGGUGCACCAUCGACCGAUCCUGAUGUCUUCGGAUGGAUUUGAGUAAGAGCAUAGCUGUUGGGACCCGAAAGAUGGUGAACUAUGCUUGAAUAGGGUGAAGCCAGAGGAAACUCUGGUGGAGGCUCGCAGCGGUUCUGACGUGCAAAUCGAUCGUCAAAUUUGGGCAUAGGGGCGAAAGACUAAUCGAACUAUCUAGUAG
rnacentral:rRNA from 1 species